rnacentral:misc_RNA from 1 species
CGCCUCUCGCUUGCGUCGCCUCUCACCUCGCCGGCCUGAGGUGUCGCCUCUUGCCUCGCCAGGCGUUCCAGUCGAGGUGACAGAGGGGCGCCUCACCUCGCCUGGCGCCUCGCUCACCUUUGAUAACACUGGAUGAACCAUAUCUAAUACUACCUUACAAAUACGCUGCACAUCAUUGCAUAUAAGGUUUUCGCCUUAGUCCAGAUUUUGCAAUAGGUUUUUCAAUACUGAAAAAUAUUAAGUGAUUUUGGGUCUAGAGAAUGCCACA